rnacentral:tRNA from 1 species
GCCGUUGUGGCUCAGUGGCAGAGCACACCCUUGGUAAGGGUGAGGUCGAGAGUUCGAUUCUCUCCAACGGCA